CGGAAGUGACGAUUUCCAACGCAUUUGCUGAUGAUGGCGUGGAGGAGAGCAAGAAGUACCAGUCAGAUUUGUGCAGAAUUUGAGGCAUACAGAAUUACCAUAGGCCCAUUAGAAUCAACAAUCUUUGCCAAACUGGAUCCGGACUGCAAAACUUAUGAAGAUGUUUGCAUACUGAAGAAGAGUCCUUGGAAGAAUACUGAAACCCUCUUGGUGCCCACUACACAGUAGAUGGAAGACCUGCUGGUAUUUGCUACAUGAAGACAGAGAUCUGGUUGUGACAAGGACAAGGCAGGCGUGACAGAGACGAAAUUGACAAAUAUUUCCUUUUGUCUCUACUGUCACAGCUCAAGAUCCUGGUAGUGUGCAGACUCUUGUGGUACUGUCAGCAUUGUCAGGGGUCCAGUGCCAGCUGAGAAACUGUGAGAUGAAUGAGGAUGAUAACAGACCAAUCUCUUCAGGAGUAUAAAAGUGUCAGAAUGUGAAGAACAGAAGAAAAAGUCCUUUCGUUGAUCACUACACACAGUGUGCUUUGGACGGGAGUGGUGUUUUGGAAACUCCACGGUGAACGAGGGAAGUUUCAAGUGCAUGAGUAUGC